GCUGGGUGCAGAUGCACACACCUGUAAUCCUAGCAACUUGGGAGGCUGAGGCAGGAGCAUUGCAAGUUCAAGACCCCAGCAAUUUAGCAAGACCUUGUCUCCG
rnacentral:sRNA from 1 species